GCUCGCCUCAGCAGCAUAUACUAAAAUUGGAACAAUACAGAGAAGAUGAGCAUGGCCCCUGCACAAGGAUGACAUGCGAAUUAGGAAGUAUUCCAUAUUUUG
rnacentral:snRNA from 2 species